GGCGGAGGUGGAGGUGGUGGUGGGGAUCGAUGGCGGAGGCGGAGGAAAUCGGAUCGAACGAGUUCCCGGUGGGGUUGAAGGUGCUCGUGGUGGACGACGAUGUCACCUGCUUGACGGUUCUCAAGCGGAUGCUUCUUCAGUGUCGAUACGAUGUCACAACCUGCUCUCAGGCUGCAAGAGCACUAACUCUUCUGCGGGAAAGCAAAGGCGGUUUUGAUGUAGUAAUAAGUGAUGUUCAUAUGCCUGACAUGGAUGGAUUCAGGCUACUUGAACUUGUGGGUCUCGAAAUGGAUCUUCCUGUUAUAAUGAUGUCUGCUGAUGCUAGAACAACAAAUGUGAUGAAAGGAAUAAAACACGGGGCUUGUGAUUACUUAAUUAAGCCUGUACGCAUGGAAGAGUUGAAGAACAUAUGGCAACACGUUGUUAGGAAAAAGUGGAGUGAUAAUCGGGACAAUGAACAUUCAGGUAGCUUGGAAGAUUCUGGAAGCAAUAAACGGCUUAUCAAUGAAACUGAAUAUGCUUCCUCUGUCAACGAGGGAGCUGAUGACAGCUCGAAAUCUCAGAAAAAGAAAAGAGAAGUUAAAGAAGAAGAGGAUGGCGAACAGGAAAAUGGGGACCCUUCUUCAUCCAAGAAACCACGAGUAGUGUGGUCGGUAGAGCUUCAUCAACAGUUUGUUAAUGCAGUGAACCAGCUUGGAAUUGAUAAGGCUGUCCCAAAGAGGAUUCUUGAAUUGAUGAAUGUUCCUGGAUUAACUAGAGAAAAUGUUGCUAGCCAUUUGCAGAUUGCUGAAUUUGUGCAGAAAUUCAGACUGUACCUGAAGAGAUUAAGUGGAGUAGCUCAGCACCAUGGUGGACUUCCUUCUAACUCAUUAUCUUCCCCAGCCUCAAACAUAAAAAUUGGCCCACUUGGAAGGCUCGAUUUACAAGCAUUGGCCGCCUCAGGCCAAAUUCCUCCACAAACCCUAGCUGCCUUGCAAGAUGAGCUCCUAGGUCAAGUUUCACCAAUGUAUCGGCAACCCGCGAGACAAGUUCCUGUACAAAGAGAAAUAGCAUUUGGCCAGCCUCUGUUUAAGUGCCAGACGAGCGUGGCCCAACAUUUCCCCACUCAAUCCAGUGUAACUGUUGGAGGAAUGACUUCUUUUGCAAAUUGCUCUAAUAACCUUAAUUUUGAAGAUUCUUUAAGUAAUUCAAGGAAUAGCAACAUGUUGAGCCAAAUUUUCCAACAACAACAGCAACAGCAGCAGCAACAGCAACAAUUGCAGACAAAUAGCUUGACAUCUGAGCCCCUCAGCUCAACAAAGGUGCAACCUUCUUGUCUCAUCCUUCCUUCUCAGACACUGGAUACGUUCCAGGAUCCUCUUCUUGUCCCUUCCCAACCAUCAACCAGUUUGCAAGGAGGGAACGAUUCAUGUCUUCUUAACCAGAAUUCCACAGUAGUUGCUCACUCGUUGGCCAAUCUUCAAGGAGGGAAUAAUCCUGGCAUCAUUAAUCACAAUUGUAAAUCAGCCUAUUCUCAAGCAUCGACUAGUUUUAAUACAGGAAACAGCCCUUUUCUCAUGAAGGGAAACUCUACUUUAAUCUCCUCUCAACCAUCAGCAACUCUUCGGCCUGAGAAUAACCCUACCACGCUUGGGCAAUACUCUAUCUAUAACAGCGGAAGCGCUAAAGCGGACAGCAACUUACUUUCGUUUCAAUCAAAGAAUACUCGAUUUGGUGUGGGGCAAUUCGUGGAUGAAGGCAUUUCCGGAUUAACAUCUGCACCCCUGUCAACUUCUACGGACGGGAAUAUUGUUCCUGGCAGUGGCUCUAGUGUGAUUUCAGGGAAAUUGGACGAUCAAGGGCAGAAAAGGAAACUUGGUUUUGUUGGUAAAGGCACCUGCAUUCCCAGCCGCUUUGCGGUGGAUGACAUUGAAUCUCCCACAAGCAGCUUCACUCAUGGCAAUACAUUCGUUAGUAAUGGUGGAGAUUUAUUGAGCUCGGAUAUUUUUGGAUUUAAUGGACAGCUUUAGAGUGGCAGACACAAUGCUUGAUGGGGUUUGCGAGUUCCUCUUGUAAGUAGGGAUUGGUUGGCAUGAUGCUCUGUGGAAUCCAAGGUAGCUGUUAAUGAGUGAGAGUGAGAAUUUCCAGUUUCCUUUUUUCUUUUUUUCCCUUUCCUUUUUUUUUUUUUUUUUUCUCUCAUUACCAUCUCGGUUAUUUAUCCUUCUCCGUAAAGAAGAAAUCUCUUGUGGCAUUGUAUAAGAUGUGCUCUGUAGAAAUUCGAUACAGGCUAAAUGAUAGUUUUUCAUUGAAUUGUUUAUAGUCUCGAAAACGACGAAGCUCAUCAAUAAUCUGUGUUUUUUGGUUUGUUCUUCGCUAAGAGUUUUCUGCUACUUGUUCAGCUCCUUUUGUAGAAAGAUGUUGAAAUGAAUCAAAGCUGGGACUUGAAUCUUCUCAA